rnacentral:tRNA from 1 species
GGGGCGGUAGCUCAGUUGGGAGAGCGCUGCGUUCGCAAUGCAGAUGUCGAGGGUUCACCUCCCUUCCGCUCCA